CCUACGGGGAGCAGCAGUGAGGAAUAUUGGUCAAUGGACGAGAGUCUGAACCAGCUAAGUAGCGUGAAGGAUGACUGCCCUAUGGGUUGUAAACUUCUUUUAUAUGGGAAUAAAAUGUUCCACGUGUGGGCUUUUGUAUGUACCAUAUGAAUAAGGAUCGGCUAACUCCGUGCCAGCAGCCGCGGUAAUACGGAGGAUCCGAGCGUUAUCCGGAUUUAUUGGGUUUAAAGGGAGCGUAGGUGGAUUGUUAAGUCAGGUGUGAAAGUUUGCGGCUCAACCGUAAAAUUGCAGUUGAAACUGGCAGUCUUGAGUACAGUAGAGGUGGGCGGAAUUCGUGGUGUAGCGGUGAAAUGCUUAGAUAUCACGAAGAACUCCGAUUGCGAAGGCAGCUCACUGGACUGCAACUGACACUGAGGCUCGAAAGUGUGGGUAUCAAACAGGAUUAGAUACCCGUGUAGUC
rnacentral:rRNA from 1 species